rnacentral:lncRNA from 1 species
AAGAAAAGAAGAGGAUAAGAAAAUAAGAGGGGAUAUGCUUCACCUCCACUCAAAAAGACAAAAAAAAACAAAAAAAAAAAGAGAAGAACCCCUUCUCUAAAAAGAAAACGAAAAAAGAAAAUUGAAAGGAUUGGAUCUUUAUCUCUUCAAAACCUCGUCCGCAACAAAACCUCUUCUUCUCCCAAACGUCACACAAACCACCACCACGAAAAACCGUCGUCUUCACCUCCACACCCAAGCUCCC